UAUUUUGUACAUCUCCCUAAUCAGACACCCAGUUUAGUUCCUGCAGUCUCUACUAAUGAGCUGAUGAGUGGAAUCAGGUGUGUUAGAUAAGGGAGACAUACAAAAGGUGCAGGGCAGGUUUGAGAACCACUGCCCCAGCCUUCUGCCACAGCUGCUGAUAUCCAGAAAAAGACCCUACCCAGCACACCUCGCUUAAUUCACCUAUCAGAAGCUUGAAAAAAUAUAUAUUACAAACCAAAUUACCAGAAAUGAGGCAGAAAAGUCAGCGUCAAAGUGGCUCAUCGGUGACGGGAGGAAACCGUUCUGCGAAGUCACGUAGUGGAGAGCAAGAUAGGGCCAUUGGGAGAGCGAGGACAGAGGAGUGAGGAGCUGCACGGUUGCUUUGUUUGUGAAAUAAUGUAUUUUAGAGUUUUCAGAUAUGCGU